rnacentral:rRNA from 1 species
AUGGCGUCGGAUGCCAUGGACACGGCCGAAGAUCUGCCACAAGAAGGAGACGGUCUCGUGGAUGUCGCCGUGGAUGGCCAGCUUUUCCGCCGAAGUACUCUCGCGUUGCUAGCGCUAUUUGGCGCCGCGCUGAACGCUGCCGACAUCACCCUAGACGUCACCGCCGCGGAUGCUCCAAACGACUUGGACCCGGCUGUGGUAGCAGUGGUGGCCGAGGCGCUGAAGACAGUGGACGCGCCGCUAUCCGACGAAGGCCUCAACUGUCCGAUCUGCUUGGAGGACGACGACACGGCGUCGUGGAAGGAGACUCCGUGCGGACAUCGGUUCCACGGACGGUGCGUGGAGAAGUGGCUGCAGGCCAAGGGGGGCUGCCCCAUGUGUCGGUGCCAGGUGGUGGCGAUGCCUAUCGUCGCCGCCACGGAUGCUCCAUACCGACACUUCGUUAUCAUUCAAGAAUAUGGCCAGGACGGUACGAACUUCGUUGUCAUGGACAUUGAUGAUGAUGACGAUGACGACGAUGAUCAUGAUGAUGAUGAUGAAGAUGAGGUAGAAGAAGAAUAUGAUGAUGAUGAAAUGGAAGACGAAGGCUGA